GGAGAGGUGGCCGAGCGGCUUAAGGCAACGGUUUGCUAAACCGUCGUGGGGGGUAACCUCUACCCAGGGUUCAAAUCCCUGCCUCUCCG
rnacentral:tRNA from 1 species